UGACAGUCAAAUUUAUCAAUAUCUAUUAAAAAUAAUAAUCCAUACAAACAGAUACAUUUUAGUUUUCUAUUGAUUUUGGAAAAUUGUGAGUAGGUCCUUACAAUAAUCUGAAUUAAGAUAUUCUUGCAAAAAUUCGAGUUUUACAAUGUCUCUUAUGUUUUUAAUGAAAGAUGAUGAAUUUCAUACUCUGGAAAGAAAUCACAGGAUCCAGGAAGCAGUAAAUUAACAUUCACGUGCAAGAAUUUUACUGUAGAUGAUAAAUAAUGUUUUAGUUUUUCAUAUUAGCAUAUUCUUUUUCUAAUAAACACAUAAUCAAAC
rnacentral:lncRNA from 1 species